GACGAACGCUGGCGGCGUGCUUAACACAUGCAAGUCGAACGCUGAAGACCUGGCUUUUGUUGGGUUGGAUGAGUGGCGAACGGGUGAGUAACACGUGAGUAACCUGCCCUCUUCUUUGGGAUAACGCCCGGAAACGGGUGCUAAUACUGGAUAUUCACUGAUCUUCGCAUGGGGGUUGGUGGAAUGGUUUGUUCUGGUGGGGGAUGGGCUCGCGGCCUAUUAGCUUGUUGGUGGGGUGAUGGCCUACCAAGGCUUUGACGGGUAGCCGGCCUGAGGGGGUGACCGGUCACGGUGGGACGGAGAUACGGCCCAGACUCCUACGCGAGGCAGCAGUGGGGGAUAUUGGAGAGGGGGAGAAAGCCUGAGGCAGCGACGCCGCGUGGGGGAUGGGGGCCUUCGGGUUGGAAACCUCUUUCGCUCAUGGUCAAGCCUCAACUGUGGGUUGUGGUGAGGGUAGUGGGUAAAGAAGCGCCGGCUAACUACGUG
rnacentral:rRNA from 1 species